AUCUAAGUGGUGUAGUGGUUUGAGCACUGGACUAGGACUCUGGAGACCAGAGUUCGAAUCCCAGCAUGGCCA
rnacentral:tRNA from 1 species